rnacentral:rRNA from 1 species
CAUGCAUGCCAGUACGGCGAGUGAGCGGCAAAGCUCAAAUUUGAAAUCCUGCGGGAAUUGUAAUUUGAAGGUUUCGUGGUCUGAGUCGGCCGCGCCCAAGUCCAUUGGAACAUGGCGCCUGGGAGGGUGAGAGCCCCGUAUGGCGCACGCCGACUCUUUGUACACCGCGGCUCCGACGAGUCGAGUUGUUUGGGAAUGCAGCUCUAAGUGGGUGGUAAAUUCCAUCUAAAGCUAAAUAUUGGCGAGAGACCGAUAGCGAACAAGUACAGUGAUGGAAAGAUGAAAAGCACUUUGAAAAGAGAGUGAAACAGCACGUGAAAUUGUUGAAAGGGAAGGGCUUGCAAGCAGACACGGUUUUACCGGGCCAGCGUCGAAAAGGGGGGAGGAACAAGAACUCGAGAAUGUGGCGCGCACCUUCGGGCGCGCGUGUUAUAGCUCGUGUUGACGCCUCCAUCCCUUUUCGAGGCCUGCGAUUCUAGGACGCUGGCGUAAUGGUUGCAAGCCGCCCGUCUGAA